ACUUAGCUAAAACGUUUGGUUCAAAACAUUUGCUUGCUGUCUUGGCAUAACAUCAAUAAAGGCAUAAACAUCGCAAAAUAAUGGUUAUAUAUAAAUGGCUAUGAGGAUGGUUUUAGUACGUAGGCGUUGCGGAACUUCGGUUCAGAUAGAGCAAUGAAUCGUGCAUGCUAGGAAAACUGACCACACGCAGUGUUGGCAGCCCUAGUAUCUUUCGAUAGAUUUCCAUACCUCCGCGAUC
rfam:Drosophila simulans chrT_M_5683 genomic scaffold, whole genome shotgun sequence.